rnacentral:rRNA from 1 species
UACCAGCACCCCGAGUGGUCGGGACGUUUAUUGGGCCUAAAGCAUCCGUAGCCGGUUCUACAAGUCUUCCGUUAAAUCCACCUGCUUAACAGAUGGGCUGCGGAAGAUACUAUGGAGCUAGGAGGCGGGAGAGGCAAGCGGUACUCGAUGGGUAGGGGUAAAAUCCGUUGAUCCAUUGAAGACCACCAGUGGCGAAGGCGGCUUGCCAGAACGCGCUCGACGGUGAGGGAUGAAAGCUGGGGGAGCAGACCGG